AUUGAACGCUGGCGGCAGGCCUAACACAUGCAAGUCGAGCGAGCGGCGGACGGGUGAGUAAUGUCUGGGAAACUGCCUGAUGGAGGGGGAUAACUACUGGAAACGGUAGCUAAUACCGCAUACCAUCAGAUGUGCCCAGGUGGGAUUAGCUAGUAGGUGGGGUAACGGCUCACCUAGGCGACGAUCCCUAGCUGGUCUGAGAGGAUGACCAGCCACACUGGAACGGAGACACGGUCCAGACUCAUACGGGAGGCAUCAGUAGGGAAUAUUGCACAAUAGGCGCAAGCCUGAUGCAGCCAUGCCGCGUGUGUGAAGAAAGCCUUCGGGUUGUAAAGCACUUUCAGCGGGGAGGCGUGACCCGCAGGAGAAGCACCGGCUAACUCCGUGCCAGCCACCGCGGUAAUAC
rnacentral:rRNA from 1 species